rnacentral:rRNA from 1 species
AUUGAACGCUGGCGGCAUGCUUUACACAUGCAAGUCGAACGGUAACAGGCCGCAAGGUGCUGACGAGUGGCGAACGGGUGAGUAAUGCAUCGGAACGUGCCCAGUCGUGGGGGAUAACGCAGCGAAAGCUGCGCUAAUACCGCAUACGAUCUAUGGAUGAAAGCGGGGGACCGUAAGGCCUCGCGCGAUGGGAGCGGCCGAUGUCAGAUUAGGUGGUUGGUGGGGGAAAGGGCUACCAAGCCAACGAUCUGUAGCUGGUCUGAGAGGACGACCAGCCACACUGGGACUGGGACACGGGCCAGACUCCUACGGGAGGCAGCAGUGGGGAAUUUUGGACAAUGGGCGCAAGCCUGAUCCAGCCAUGCCGCGUGCAGGAUGAAGGCCUUCGGGUUGUAAACUGCUUUUGUACGGAACGAAAAGGUUUGGCUUAAUACGUUGAACUCAUGACGGUACCGUAAGAAUAAGCACCGGCUAACUACGUGCCAGCCGCCGCCGUAACAC